AUUGAACGCUGGCGGCAGGCCUAACACAUGCAAGUCGAACGGUAACAGGAAGCAGCUUGCUGCUUCGCUGACGAGUGGCGGACGGGUGAGUAAUGUCUGGGAAGCUGCCUGAUGGAGGGGGAUAACUACUGGAAACGGUAGCUAAUACCGCAUAAUGUCGCAAGACCAAAGAGGGGGACCUUCGGGCCUCUUGCCAUCGGAUGUGCCCAGAUGGGAUUAGCUUGUUGGUGGGGUAACGGCUCACCAAGGCGACGAUCCCUAGCUGGUCUGAGAGGAUGACCAGCCACACUGGAACUGAGACACGGUCCAGACUCCUACGGGAGGCAGCAGUGGGGAAUAUUGCACAAUGGGCGCGAGCCUGAUGCAGCCAUGCCGCGUGUAUGAAGAAGGCCUUCGGGUUGUAAAGUACUUUCAGCGGGGAGGAAGGGAGUAAAGUUAAUACCUUUGCUCAUUGACGUUACCCGCAGAAGAAGCACCGGCUAACUCCGUG
rnacentral:rRNA from 1 species